rnacentral:sRNA from 1 species
UGUCGGGGAAGGGUGAGAACCUUCGAUUAAGGUUCGACUCGAGCGAAAGCGAGAGAACGUUGCCAACGGCAACGGCCCGAAGGGUGAGGAGCGAAGCGACGAAUAAUCCUUCCCCCACCACCA